rnacentral:pre_miRNA from 1 species
AACAUACUCCCUCCACCCAGAAAUACUUGUCGGAGAAAUGGAUGUAUCUAGAUGCAUUUUAGUUCUAGAUACAUCCAUUUUUAUUCAUUUCCGUGACAAGUAUUUUCGGAUGGAGGGAGUAGAUA